rnacentral:rRNA from 1 species
AUUGAACGCUGGCGGCAGGCCUAACACAUGCAAGUCGAACGAGUGGCGGACGGGUGAGUAAUGUCUGGGAAACUGCCUGAUGGAGGGGGAUAACUACUGGAAACGGUAGCUAAUACCGCAUACCAUCAGAUGUGCCCAGAUGGGAUUAGCUAGUUGGUGGGGUAACGGCUCACCAAGGCGACGAUCCCUAGCUGGUCUGAGAGGAUGACCAGCCACACUGGAACUGAGACACGGUCCAGACUCCUACGGGAGGCAGCAGUGGGGAAUAUUGCACAAUGGGCGCAAGCCUGAUGCAGCCAUGCCGCGUGUAUGAAGAAGGCCUUCGGGUUGUAAAGUACUUUUGUUAGGGAAGCGGUACCUAAAGAAUAAGCACCGGCUAACUACGUGCCAGCAGCCGCGGUAAUAC